rnacentral:tRNA from 1 species
GAGGGUAUAGCUCAGUGGUAGAGCGCCUGCCUAGCAUGCAUGCUGUCCUGGGUUCAGUCCCCAGCACCUCCA